GAAUCAGCACGUCGGUCGUGCCUUCGGUAUGUACUGGCGUUGCUGGUUUCUCCCUUCUGAUGAGCCGUGAUGCCAUUAAUUUGGUGUUAUGAGGAGUCAGGACUGUUACUUUGAAAAAAUUAGAGUGUUCAAAGCAGGCCAAGCCUGAAUACAUUAGCAUGGAAUAAUAAAAUAGGACGUGUGGUUCUAUUUUGUUGGUUUCUAGAAUCGCCGUA
rnacentral:rRNA from 1 species